GACAGAGAUCUACGAGGUUCACAGAGAGGGUGACUGGAAAACUUUCUGCAGCAACUUGCAUGAGAUUCCACCUUGAGCCAUGUUUCUCUGACAACACAGUUGUUCCCAAGCUGAGUGAGAAGCCUUGCACAGUGUAGUUCUUCUAUCAGGGUCCAUGGGGCUCCCAUACAUUGACACAGCUUCUGAAAUGGACCAGACCUUCAGUGCUGCUAGUUGUGUUGAUGAGCUCAGAAACUGUUCCCUGCUAUGAAAAGAAACCUCAAAUUGGUUCUCCCAUGAGGUCUGGUAUGAGAUCUGGUGAUAUCUUCACAUUUUACAUUAAUAAAAUGAAGUCUGUUCCCUCUCUUACUUAUAUGUAUAGUAUGCUCUAUGAAAACAGUAGAUAUUUUUAAUGUUUCAAUAGCUUUUAUCAGAAGAAAAUGGAAACCAUACUUCUUAAAUGAAUUUUAUCUCUAUGGCAGUUCCAUAAAUUCAGAUCUGUGCCAGUUUAUUGCAGUCUAUUUUCUCCUCAGUGAGCAUCUGCUUAACAGUUCAGUGCAGAUAAAGAGGGAUGGGAACAUUCUAGCACACACCUAACUCCACCUCGUGGCAUGGCAGAAGUUACUUAGGUCACUAAUUCAUUUUCCUAGCACAAAUACUUUGGUCAAGCAGAAUGUUGUGUCAACCAAACAUGAGGUUUGUGCUCUCUUUUCCCUUUGUGUGUGUUCUUUGUAGCAGCAGUACUGAGAAAAAUGCAUUGUAUUAAUUUUAUAUAAUUUUUGUAUGCUUUACCCUUAUCUACUUAUAUAGGUAUUGUGUUGCAACAUAACCUUACUGCUAUGACCUAUUGUAACAAGAUGCAGUGCAACAGAUCCCCAAACCUUCUCCUCCUAAGCCUUCCCCUCUUUCUUUUUCCCCAUUUACCUUGGGAUUACAAUUAUUUUUAGGGAUUAUUCAGUCUUAAAACAAAGAACAGAUCUUAACAUCAAAUGGAAAAUAAGUGCAAGACUGAAAAUGAAGUGCUUUUGUCUAAGUUUAUGGAAUUGUUUAAGAAAUACCACUUUGGUUAAACAGAGCAUGGAAACGAAUAUAAUUAUCCAUGUUAUCUAGACUGGAAAGAGUGCUGUGAGGGGGGAGAAGGAGGAAGGCUUCCUGCUCCAGCAAAGGCAGGAUGGUUUCCUAUAGCAGAAGAUCCGUCUGUGCUGCUGAGUGACACCCAGUCAGCCAUAGAUACUUGUACAUGGAGCAAAAUGAGGCCAAAGUGUCUUAAAUUGUAAGACAUAAAAAAGAUGCCU
ensembl:lncRNA